GCCUGGGUGGUGGAAUGGUAUACACGAUCGGCUUAAAACCGAUUGUCGCAAGGCAUGCGGGUUCGACUCCCGCCCCAGGCA
rnacentral:tRNA from 1 species